rnacentral:ncRNA from 1 species
UCUCAUUAAGAGUGGCUGAGGGAUCUGGCCCUAUGAAGCCACGGCAACCGGUUGGAAUGCGAAUCCAACGACGAGGUGCCAAAUCCAGCCCGGCGAUAACGC